rnacentral:rRNA from 1 species
UGGGGAAUAUUGCACAAUGGGCGCAAGCCUGAUGCAGCCAUGCCGCGUGUAUGAAGAAGGCCUUCGGGUUGUAAAGUACUUUCAGCGGGGAGGAAGGGAGUAAAGUUAAUACCUUUGCUCAUUGACGUUACCCGCAGAAGAAGCACCGGCUAACUCCGUGCCAGCAGCCGCGGUAAUACGGAGGGUGCAAGCGUUAAUCGGAAUUACUGGGCGUAAAGCGCACGCAGGCGGUUUGUUAAGUCAGAUGUGAAAUCCCCGGGCUCAACCUGGGAACUGCAUCUGAUUCUGGCAAGCUUGAGUCUCGUAGAGGGGGGUAGAAUUCCAGGUGUAGCGGUGAAAUGCGUAGAGAUCUGGAGGAAUACCGGUGGCGAAGGCGGCCCCCUGGACGAAGACUGACGCUCAGGUGCGAAAGCGUGGGGAGCAAACAGG